rnacentral:ncRNA from 2 species
UGGUGUCCGCACGGGAGCCUGGUGGGCUGAGAGGGAGCACCGGCCGCGACGUCCGCGGCCCGACUCCGACCGUGGAACCUGAUCCGGAUCAUGCCGGCGCAGGGAGCGUGAAUCGUAUGCAU